UACAGAGGGUGCAAGCGUUAAUCGGAAUUACUGGGCGUAAAGGGCGCGUAGGUGGUUUAUUAAGUCAGAUGUGAAAUACCCGGGCUUAACCUGGGAAUUGCAUUUGAAACUAAUUGGCUAGAGUAUGGUAGAGGGAAGUGGAAUUUCCGGUGUAGCGGUGAAAUGCGUAGAUAUCGGAAGGAACACCAGUGGCGAAGGCGACUUCCUGGACCAUUACUGACACUGAGGCGCGAAAGCGUGGGGAGCGAACAGG
rnacentral:rRNA from 1 species